ensembl:lncRNA
CGCAGACGUUAAGUCAUUAUGAGGAUGUGACACCUCACAGACCACAAGAAGCACAUGUUGCAUUUGUGUUUCAGAAGAACUCUCAGAGACUGCAUAGUGAGCGUUACAAGGAGACACCAAAAGGCACGAUGUUUCCAAGCAGAUGGUUUAAGAUUUCUUUUUUCAUGAUGAUGAUGCUUCAGUUUGCAGCAACAGCAACCUGGCAACAUUUAGCGUUUAUUGUAAGAGAUGGUGAUGAAGUCGCGUUGCCGUGUAAAAAUCCAGUAGAUGGUCAGCGUAACUGUGACAGUACAACCUGGAUGUUCAUGAAUUUAAGAAGUGCAAAAACAGUAACACUCUUUGAACAUGAUCAGUUUCACAAAGAAGCUGGAGCUAAGUUAGGUAGACUGAGCGUUACAGCAAACUGUUCUCUAGUUAUUCAGAAGGUCACAGAUCAGGAUGUUGGUCUGUACAAAUGCAAACGGUUCAUAUCAGGAAACCAACAAGACUCACCUGUUCAUCUUUCUGUUAUUCACAUGACUGAACAAAAAAGCAACGAUAAAGUCAUCUUUUACUGCUACGUGUUCUCAUAUGAAGGCUGUAGGCAUUCAGUGGAGUGGGUCUACGAGGGUAAAGAGAAUAUAUCCUCAGUCAUGGAGAUUUCAUCACGUUCCUGUAAUUCCAAUGUGGCAUUUGAGACAUCUCACUUUAAUCAGAAGUCAAUUUUGUCUGAAUUACUGUUUGUAAGGUGUAAAGUGACAGAUGAAGACAAAAGAGUGCAGCUGUUUCCCUUCAGCCCUCCGUCCUCGGGUUGGUCAUGGUGGUAUGUUUAUGUGACUGUGGGUUUAUCAGCACUCUUAAUUAUCAUAGUGAUCAUCUCAUGGAAGAAAAUGAAAGGAAAUAAAGAACAAAAGGAAGGAAAUAAGGAACCAAGCUUAAGCCCCAAAGAGGCUCAGUCUGGUUCAGAAGCCAGUCACAACACUGUGAGAUCACACACACUACACCCAGUUCAAAGUUACACUUACUGCUGUAUAGGGAUGGGUACCGGUAUCUGGCACCGGUUCUGACAUAAACGGUACCCAGACCGAAAAGCAGGGCACAUUUCGGUGCUUCAUUUCGGUGCUUCAUUUCGGUGCUUUUUUUCCCUGAGAUGUCACACACUUUGGAUUCUAGCCAAUCAUUUUACCUUUGCAAGUGUAGUAGGCGGGCCCAGGUACGUACGUUCUUUUAGAGCAGAGCUACAGAUUAGCUGCCCAAGGUUAAGCGGUCAAAGUCUGGCUGUACUUCACAGCAAAAGAUGCAAACUCAGCAGCCUGCAACAAGUGCUUUAAGGUGACACUGUGCAAAGGAGGUAACACCUCGAAUCUGAUGAAACACCUGGUGACGCAUAGCGUUUUUUUAAAGGCUGAGAAAUGCACCGUAUUUGAUAGCUUGCUGCGAGACCUCACACCGUGCACAUCUACUGCGGGUGUGGUGCCUGUUAUCGACCCGGAGUUAGCAACAUGCACCCGAAGAGGAGAGUCCUGGCCCCUAGCCCUGCCAGUGUAGCAGAAAUGAUGACGGAUGAUGAUGGCAGCAGCAGCCGUUCUUCUCUGCGCUGAACCUGACGACGGUGUUUCUUAUGCCACCAUCAGCUUUGCCAAGAAGACCCAGAAUAAAGCCAGGGUACCCUGUAAUGGUGCAGAUGAUACUGUGACAUACAGCACUGUAAACGCUUCCUCAUCUUCUGCUGGAUAUUCUUCUUCCAGUGAUCUCUAUUCCAUCAUCAACAAACCAAAGAAAUAUAUGACUGGAUUAUGAUUUCUUUUCUUGUGCACUAUCGUACAUGAAGCCACCGAGAUAACACAGACUCCCUCUAGAGGUGGAGAGGGUGAAAAUAUUCCCAGAUUGAAAAUGCAAUAAAAUGAGAUACUUAUGUGAAAUGGAUAUUUGUGUAUGAGUGUUUGUCAGUCACUAACAGACAACCAAAGAAACAUAGUUCUGUUAGCAGUAUAAUGUGGCUGUUUCUG